CACUAGGUUUACCACAUCCCAGCCAACGUGCAAGAGCAAGAGAAGGUUCUCCUGCUGGUGCUAGAAGAUGGCGAGAGUUAUAGCAGCCAUUUUUGUGACCUUGAGGAGAGAGGCCACACACUGAGGAACAGAAAACUACAAGUAGCCUGGGACCUCGACGCUUCACAGAGUUGCUACUCAUGUCCUGAACUGCUUGCCUACAGAUUUUUUCUGAAGGCAAGAGAAAAAUCACCCCAUGAUUUGUUGAGGUCACCGUGUUGACCUUUUUCACGGAAGCCACAUAUGCAGUAGUUCUCUCUUAUUUGUGGUUUCAUGGCUUUGCCUUCUGCAGUCAGGAGGCAGAUGACCUCCUUGUGACAGCUGGCCAGAAGGUCAGCAGUAGCCUAACGCUGCAUCCCGAUGCCUGCGUCCUUAACCUCACUUCUCGUCACAUGAGCAUUGUAUCAUCUGACACCAUCAUAUGAAGGAGGAAGGAGAGAGAAAGAGACAGCGUGAGCAGGAGAGGGUCAG